rnacentral:rRNA from 1 species
CCUACGGGGGGCUGCAGUAAGGAAUAUUGCUCAAUGGCCGAAAGGCUGAAGCAGCAACGCCGCGUGGAGGAUGAAAUACUUUUGUAUGUAAACUCCUGUAAGAAGGGAAAAAUAUUCCGAUUUAUCGGGAUUGAUUGUACCUUCAGAGUAAGCCCCGGCUAACUACGUGCCAGCAGCCGCGGUAAUACGUAGGGGGCAAGCGUUGUCCGGAUUUACUGGGUGUAAAGGGUGCUCAGGUGGACUUUUAAGUCAGAGGUGAAAUCCCAAAGCUUAACUUUGGAGCUGCCUUUGAUACUGAAAGUCUAGAGUUUGAGAGAGGGCAAUGGAAUAUCUGGUGUAGCAGUGAAAUGCGUAGAUAUCAGAUAGAACACCAAUGGCGAAGGCAGUUGCCUGGCUCAAAACUGACGCUAAAGCACGAAAGUGUGGGGAGCAAACAGGAUUAGAUACCCCUGUAGUC